UACGAAGGGGGCUAGCGUUGCUCGGAUUCAUUGGGCGUAAAGAGCGUGUAGGCGGCUUUGCAAGUCCGUUGUGAAAACUCGAGGCUCAACCUCGAGACGCCGGUGGAAACUGCAAAGCUAGAGUCCGGAAGAGGAGAGUGGAAUUCCUGGUGUAGCGGUGAAAUGCGCAGAUAUCAGGAAGAACACCCGUGGCGAAGGCAGCCUUCUGGGCCAAUACUGACGCUCAUGCACGAAAGCGUGGGGAGCAAACAGG
rnacentral:rRNA from 1 species